AGUACUGAAAGGUGUUACCAAAGCGUUGUGUCCUGAAGCUGCUCAUUGAGCAGCAUCUUAUUUUAUUUCUUCCUUCACAGCAAAAGACCAUGGAGUCCUCCAAGACCUCGAAGAACCCCAGGACAGCAUCUGAGGUCACCAAGGAGUGGCUGGAAGCUGUCUUGUGUCAGUAUGAGUCCAAAACUAGGCCCAGGUCAACUGUGAAGGUGAACUCCUUCGAGGUCAAUCCAGGCUGUCCGAAGGGUGAAAACUUCAGUAGCGACGUGAUGAGGAUCGUGGCUGAGGGCCAGGUGACGCCAGCGGGAGGCACACCUUCGCCCGCCCACUACAGCUUCAUUGCCAAGUUUCUCACCGGCAGCGAGUUCGAGCAUACAGUAGCAAAAGAGUUCGGGGCACCGCAGAGGGAGUUAAUUACUCUUUCCGAAGUCGUGCCAACCUUAAACGCUUUCCAGGAAGAGCGAGGUGGUGGCAAGUAUCACAUUAACGCGCCUGACUACGUGUACGGCGUGUGCGAAGGUAGCGAAUACUUAUUGAUGAUGCAGGACUUCACGGAGGCCAGGUUCAAAGUCGGGGAUAAACGACGUGGUUUGAGUGUUUUGCAGCUCGAGACAGCAGUACGGCACUUGGCCCAUCUCCACGCUGUCUCCUACGCCUUCAACCGCAACCACAAUUUCCUGGCUAAAUACCCACGCUUCGUAACACCUCCACUCAUGAACAGUUUGAUUGGAACGUUUGUUCGGGUGAUCUUAGAGGGUAUUAUGGAGAACUUUUUAAAGGAUCGGGAGGAGGAGUUCCCAGGUGUGCUAAAGACCCUCACCUCCAACAAAGAUAAACUUGUCAGUAAAAUAGUAGACAUUCUAACUGUCACCGGGAAGGAAUCAAUCGUAUGUUUGUGCCAUGGGGACUACUGGACCAACAACUUCAUGUUUAAAUAUGACGAAGAAGGCGUCGUGGAAGAUUUCGCAAUGAUCGACUGGGGGAACGUUGGGUGGCGAAACCCCAUUAUAGACCUUCUUUACGUCAUCCACACAUCCACGCACCAGGAUCUAAGACGGGACCACCUGAGGGACGUGCAGAAGCUUUAUUACGACACCUUCACCUCCGCUGCCGCCAACAUGGGUGCACCCUUGCUACACUGGAGAUUCGAGGACUUCCUGCAGGAAUACCAGAAGUUAGCCGUGAUAGGUUUGGUUAUGGGUAUCCUUGUCAACAUGGUGACACUUUCAGCGUCCGGGAAAAAAUUAAGCCAAGGCAGCCUCAGCACGGGCUUCAUCUCCUGGCUGAAAGUGAAGUCUGCCAAGGCGAUGAUGUCCUUGCCAAAUUCGUUACUGGUUAAGAUGGGAUACUUGAGCAUAAAGAAAGACUGGAAAUUUUACUUCGAAGAGCUGUCAUCUAUGAAAAACCCUGAGAUGACAACUCGUGUGACGGAUUUAAUAACUGAAGCAUAUCGGAACGGUGUGCUGAAUGUAUAACCCUACUGCCCCAAACUCUGUAUAAUAACCUCUGUCAUAAAAGUUAAUUAUCCUUAUAAGAUCAAUAGUGAUAGAAAAAAAGGACAUCGAUAAAUAGUCUUGCUUAACCCUUUCAGUGCCAUGACGAGUUAGCGAUUUUAUAGCUUCAGAAACUUAGGUUAAGAUUACAUUAAUAAAGACGUCCAUAGACUCUUACUAAUGCAAAUAGAAUUGUUUCAUCUUACCCAAAAAUCAUAUUAAAAAUGCUUCUCAGUAUUGAAGGGAUUAAAAGCCGCGAGAAAACUUUCGUAUUCACCUCUGUAUGAUGUACUUUGCGUUUUCCUUUAUUCAUAAGUCUUGGAAUAGUACAUCAGAUGCCAGGUCAACCGAUCAGAGGACUUGAUAUUGAAAGGAGACACUGAAACCACAAGAAAUGAUGGUAGGACGUUCGCCCGUAUUCAGAAUCCCUUGCUCUCUCACCACCAAGGCCACAGAGACAACUAUAGCCGGGUUUUCAAGACAGUUUCUCCUUAUAAUAAACUAGAAAUCUUGCCAAUCCAUCACCAGAAACGUAAAAAUAUCCCUGAAAACACGAGUAUCUUUAACUAGAGCCUUUGGAAAAGUGGUGAUGGUGAGACAGUAAAGCGUUUCAGAGUACGAGCCGUUGUUUGACUUGUUCUUGACCGUAUAAUUAUAACCAACACGAGUUUAUCAGUCCUUAACAUCUGCACACUAUCAGAUCACUACGACCAGAUAGUUUAUCGAUGAGGGUUUUUCAUACAUCGUCUGCAUUUAGUCUUAUCUGUCGGGCAAGGAGGCUACCAUAUCUCACGUCCUCACCCUGUCCGUGGAUCUGCGAGCAUUUUGUGGCAGGGUAUCACCAAUGUGUGAAGGUUCGAAACUCAUUCAACGCAGACGUGACGCGCACCUCGCCUAGCGCCACGCCAGACGGUAGCCGAGGAAGGAUAUACACGGAAGCUUAAGGCACCGGUCAGCGGGGGAGACAGAGGGCAGGAGUCUGUUGAGAUUACCAGUUGUUUGGCAGU